rnacentral:rRNA from 1 species
CUACGGAGGGUCCAAGCGUUAUGCGGAAUCAUUGGGUUUAAAGGGUCCGCAGGCGGUCAAUUAAGUCAGAGGUGAAAGCCCAUCGCUCAACGAUGGAACUGCCUUUGAUACUGGUUGACUUGAGUUAUACGGAAGUAGAUAGAAUAAGUAGUGUAGCGGUGAAAUGCAUAGAUAUUACUUAGAAUACCGAUUGCGAAGGCAGUCUACUACGUAUAUACUGACGCUGAGGGACGAAAGCGUGGGGAGCGAACAGGAUUAGAAACCCUAGUAGUCC